UCCCCGUUAGUGGCAAUGGCAAACACACUUCUCUCGUAAAGAAGAAAUGCCGGUUCGAUUCCGGCACGGGGAUCUA
rnacentral:tRNA from 1 species